AUUUUAUCCAGUCUUCGUUUUCACUCGAUAUCCUAUGGAAAAGAAAGAACAUGGAAAACGAUAGCGUUUCAUGUCUCUAAAAAAUAUGUAAAUUAACUAAGCCUUAAGAACAAAACGGCUGCGGAGAAGCAUAAAACAAGAUUUCUCUGUAUUCUUUAAUAAGGAAGAAAGAGAUCGCUCUAGUGUGAAUUGCUGACCGUGUGCUACCCUCUUUCUCUCUUACUCCCCUAGUCGGUUGACUUUCGUCUUGUUCUCCAACAAACGGUAAACCGUGUUAUCACAACUAUGCCAAAAAUGCAAAUCGACGAGUGAGGCCUUUCUAAAGAGGUAGGAAUGCAACGCGCUCGAAAGUCCUGGAAAGGCCUGUCCUGUGAUUGCGACAGAUGCAAUGGCGGCCGCUCUACUAUAAGGAAAGUCCUUCGUGAUCUCGAUGAUGGUUGAUUUUUUAUGUUGCAUGGCAAUGUGUCCAAAAAAAUAUUC